UGGAGUCUGCUGUGCUCGACAGGAAGUCCUGACACUCAGUGUGUCAGUGUUUGCAGGUGAGGUGAUCCAGCUCAGGUGAAGUCUUCAGCUCCACUCUGUGAACUCCUGGAUUUGCGAGGAGAACCAGGACUCAGCGUCACUGCUAGCAAAGAUGAAGGAAUCUCUGCAGACACAGCUUCUGGAAACACUGGGGGAUUUGGGAGCGAAGGAACUGAAAUAUUUUAAGUGGUAUCUACAGAAACCUGAGUCACUGAACGGUUUACCAGUCAUCCCAAAGAGUGAUCUUCAGACAGCUGAUAAACUGCAAACAGUGAAUUUGAUGACAACUAAAUACAGUGAAGAUGCUUUGGAAGUCACACGAAAGAUUUUGGACAAAGUCAAGACUCAUACAAGUAAACCUUCUCAAGUUGUGGAGAGACAAAAACAGCCAGACCAGACAUUUUUAUCAGAAGAGUCUCUUCGACAGUGUCAGUGGUGUCUCAAGUCUAAGCUGAGGGAGAAGUUCCAAACUGUCUUCGAGGGAAUUGCCAGAGCUGAAAAAGUCCCACUUAAUCAGAUCUACACAGAGCUCUACAUCACAGAGGGAGGGACUGCAGAGGUCAAUGAUGAACAUGAGGUCAGACAGAUUAAAACAGCAUCCAGCAAACCACACAGACCAGAAAUGACAAUCAUACAGGAAGACAUCUUUAAAGGCUCACCCCAAAGAAUCAAACAAAUCAGAACAGUGUUAACAAAGGGAGUGGCUGGCCUUGGGAAAACAGUCUUAACUCAGAAGUUCAUUUUGGACUGGGCUGAAGACAAAGCCAACCAGGACAUUAAGUUUAUAUUUCCAUUCACGUUCAGAGAGCUGAAUGUGGUGAAGGAGGAAAAGUUCAGCUUAGUGGAACUUGUUCAUCACUUCUUUACUGAAACCAAAGAAGCCAGAAUGUCAAAAUUUGAUGAGUUCCAGGUUGUGUUCAUAUUUGAUGGUCUGGAUGAGUCUCGACUUUCUCUGGACUUCCACAACACUGAUACCCUAACUGAUGUUCAACAGUCCACCUCAGUGGAUGUGUUGCUGACAAACCUCAUAAGGGCGAAACUGCUUCCCUCUGCUCGCCUCUGGAUAACCACACGACCUGGAGCAGCCAAUCAGAUUCCUCCUGACUAUGUUGAUAUGGUGACAGAGGUCAGAGGAUUCACUGACCCGCAGAAAGAGGAGUACUUCAACAAGAAAUUCAGAGAUGAGGAGCAGGCCAGCAGGAUCACACCCCACAUCAAGACAUCACGAAGCCUACACAUCAUGUGCCACAUCCCAGUCUUCUGCUGGAUCACUGCUACAGUUCUGGAGGAUGUGCUGAAAACCAGAGAGGGAGGAAAGCUGCCCAAGACUCUGACUGAGAUGUAUAUCCACUUCCUGGUGGUUCAGGCCAAAGUGAAGAAGGUCAAGUAUGAUGGAGGAGCUGAGACAGAUCCACACUGGAGUCCAGAGAACAGGAAGAUGAUUGAGUCUCUGGGAAAACUGGCUUUUGAUCAGCUGCAAAAAGGAAACCUGAUCUUUUAUGAAUCAGACCUGACAGAGUGUGGCAUCGAUAUCAGAGCAGCCUCAGUGUACUCAGGAGUGUUCACACAGAUCCUUAAAAAAGAGAGCGGACUGUACCAGGUCAAGGUGUUCUGCUUCAUCCAUUUGAGUGUUCAGGAGUUUCUGGCUGCUCUUCAUGUUCAUCUAAGGUUAAAAAACUCUAAAGUCAACCUGCUGGAAGAACAACCAACCCCCCAACAGUCUGAAAGAAGAGAAGAAUCUGUAGAGACACGUGUCUAUCAGAAUGCUGUGGACAAGGCUUUACAGAGUCCAGAUGGUCACCUGGACUUGUUCCUUCGUUUCCUCCUGGGUCUUUCACUGCAGACCAACCAGGCUCUGCUACAAGGUCUGCUCAAACAGACAGAAAGUAGUUCACAGAUCAAUCAGGAAACAGUCCAGUACAUAAAGGAAAAGCUCACUAAUAAUCUGUCUGCAGAGAAAAGCAUCAAUCUGUUCCACUGUCUGAAUGAACUGAAUGACCAUUCUCUAGUGGAGGAGAUCCAACAGCUCCUGAGAUCAGGAAGUCUCUCCACAGAUAAACUGUCUCCUGCUCAGUGGUCAGCUCUGGCCUUCAUUUUACUGUCAUCAGAAAAAGAUCUGAACGCGUUUGACCUGAAGAAAUACUCUGCUUCAGACGAGGCUCUUCUGAGGCUGCUACCAGUGGUCAAAGCCUCCAACAAAGCUCUACUGAGUGACUGUAACCUCUCAGAGAAAAGCUAUGGAGCUCUGUCCUCAGUUCUCAGCUGCCACUCCUGUAGUUUGCGAGAGUUGGACCUGAACAACAAUGACCUGCAGGAUUCAGGACUGAAUCUUCUAUCUGUUGGACUGGAGAGUCCACAUUGCAAACUGGAAACUCUCAGGCUAAAUGGCUGUAACCUCUCGGAGAGAAGCUGUGGAGCUCUGAUCAGAGUUAUUCAAUCCUCUAAUCUCAGGGAGCUGGAUCUGGGUAACAACAACUUGCAGGAUUCAGGAGAAAAACUACUCUCAGCUGGAUCGGAGAGUCCACAUUGUAAACUGGAGUCUCUUAGUUACAGAAAAACAGAAGACUGUUAAAUAAAAGGGAGUUGGAGGUUCUCAACAGGAGGUUAUUUCUGCAUUGAUGGAAGGGAGCCUGAAAAACAGCAAAGACUAGUGUGAGUUUAAAUUCUGGCAUUUAUAAUACAUCCUUCAUCUAAGUCUACAGAUAAUGGCUUACUUUACAAUGACUCAAGUUUUGGAUUAGAAACCCCCACUGUUUCUAAUGUUAAUGCCUAUGACAAGCAUGCAUGCUGUGGGGGGCUGGGUCUGUGACCCAGCAUUUUUGUGUUAUUUUUGUAUUUUCUUUGCUGAUUUUAUAUUGACAUGAUCAUUUUGUCAAGCUUGUGUUGUCAUGUCUAUGGUCCAUUAUGUUUGUGUUUUAUUGUGAAAUCUCGUGCUCUAUUUUCAGUGUGUUUAGUUCUGCUUCCCCUGUAGCAUUCAGGUUAAUUUGUGUCAGCUGUGUUUCCCCAAGUGUUUCCACUUCCCUCAUUACCAUUCUGUAUUCUCUAUCUCCCUCUUUUCAGUGUCAGGUCAUCUGUUCUCCUCACCUCAUGUUCCAUGGAUGUCAUGGCUACCUAGUCUCGGUUUUAGCAACUUCUGGUCCUGAUAGGUUUAUGGUUGUCAAUAGAGCUUUUCCAUGUCCUGAGUUAAUUUUUUCCCAGUUUAGUUUUGAUUUUUUUUUAACCUUUGUUCGCUUGUGUCAAGAACUAUAGUUCUAACACACAAGCUGGACCCAGAAGCAAACACAAUACGCAGGAAAUGCAUGCAGAAUAAACUUUAUUUCCUAACUAAAGGUGACCCCGAAUAACCAAAGGGAAAUGUUAGAAGAGACCGGGAGAUAAACGAUUCGGGAAUGCCGUGAUCAGGACCGUUGGAGGGAGGGAGAGAGUUACUGGGGAGCAGGGAAAUGACAGCAUACAAUGGGGUAGAGCUAUUUAUCUUACGAUCGGGGCCGGACCGUGGGGAUCGGAGGGAGGGGUGAGUGUCCGCGGGAGAGGAUUCCAGGGAGACGGAGAGGAUGAUGACAGGUGGUUUAUCUGAACUCCAGGCGGGCAGGAGGACAGGCAGGUGAAGGCUCGAACACGGCGGACAAUAAUCUGAGCCCACAGUAACAGGAUUAACACAGUUCAUAGAAACCAGAAAUUCCACAUCAACCUUCACGAGGGGCCAAGUUACCACUGAAUGGUGACUGACGGACUGGCGUGGAGCAGCCGGCCGUGCAGGGUUAAAUAGUCCUCCUGAUGAUCACCUGGAAUGGGAUGCAGGUGUGAAGGCGACAGCCACACCCGUAGGCGUGGGCAUCCCCACCGCUCCUCAGACACCGAGCUGCGGACCAUGACAGCUUGUGCUUUUGUUUUUGUGGUAGUUAUCAGCCAAAAUGAAUAGCUCACUUUUUGUUAAAAUCUAGGCCUGUCCCUCGUGUGUCUGCUGUGUCUGCUUUUGGAUCCAUGAUCCUCAAACACACUGGCCAUUCCAGCCGCGAUGCAUCCAUGCAUGAAGCAGUUUAAUAAUAAAAUGUAUUAGAUAGUAACUCACCACUCUCUGACUGACAUUUAUUUAAUUUUCAAUUUUUAGAUUUGAUCCUGGUGGAGUCCGAUGGCUGAGGCAUGGUCUGAAAAAAUAUUCCUGCGAACUCACAAUUGACCCAAACUCAGCACACAGUAGGAUCAAGUUGUCGGACAACAACAAGGUGGCUGUGUAUGUAAUGGAGGCUCAGUC